UUUAGAUUAGAGAUUGACCAAUGUGACCUGUGUUUCCAGACCUUUGUUUGAACACAGCUAAUGCAAGUCUUGCUCUGGUGGAAGCCCUGCUGUGUCCUAUUCCUGUUUGGACAGAAAGCCUCUGAAUCUGCUUGGAUCAUGAGGAAGACAAAGCAUUCCUGGGCAGCCGUGGUGGGAAGAGGCAACAAGGGGGAGAAAAUGGCUGAGGAAAAUGCAAGAAUACUGCCCAAGGCCACACAUGAAGAGAGAAAGAAGCAGGAGGCAAAGAGGAAAGGGACACUGAAAACCUUGGCAGGCAAAUUGCUAAAGACUGUGGUUGGUGGGAAGGAGGCAAUGAAGAAGGCUGGCGGUGAGGAUGUGGCAGGGAAUUUGCUAAAGAUGCCAACCAGUAGGAAGGGAACGGAGAGAGGGACACCUGCAGAGGAAACCAUCUGCAUAUGCAUUGAGCAAGGAAAAUUUUUGGAAGCUUGUGAUCAUAUUUAUAAUCUGAAGAAUUCUGGAAAUGAUGGUGUGCAAAAAUCUGAAUCACUUUAUGCGCUGCUGGCUGAACGAAUGUGGACUGUGGUGGAAGAAGUGCUCAGUGGAAGUGGUAGGAUGUUCCUGGAGCCAUUGCAGUCAGUGGGGGAGUCACUGAAGUGGGAGAAGCAGAAGGAAGCAGACUGGCUUGGCAACAGCCAAGGAAUGGAUUCUGUUUCCACCUGGAGUCCAAACUUCUGGAGGAAAGAUCUGGAGGAAAAACUGAUACAGUACGUGACAGCCCAGAUUCCCCUGUUUGGUUCCCCUGCUAACACAGAUGAUACUGCACUAAAACAGCAUCUGAGUCAUCUAGAAACGACAUUUCUCCCCAGCCUGGAGCACAGAAGUGAUGUCUUCAAGGAAGCAGGACUGCUUGUCACCUAUGCCCGCUGCUGUCGUGCCUCUUUGUGUUCUCACCUUUCCACACUUACUGACAGUAACCAUUUCAGCUUCAGCCAAUGUCUUUUAAUUUAUGAAUGGGGCCUUAAAAUAUACAAAAGUGGCAGCAAGGCAUGUCUGAGACCCAGCCAGAUCCCCCAGCACAACCUUUCCCUUGAUGGACAGUAUCUCGUGUGGAUUAUUUUGAAGACUGAGGAAAAGUUACUUGCAGUCACACGGAAGGAAGUAGGGAAAGCCCUGAAAGAAGCCUUUGAUAUUGGGAAACCCCCUUGUACAGAUGCCGCAGUCAUUCAGAUACUAACAGAGAAGACAGAGGCUGCCAGGCGUGUCAGCGAGAGCCUGAGUGAGAAGGUGGAAGCUGUGUGCCUGGAGCAGUGCCUGAGGUUCCUGGAGAGCUAUGAAGAUGAAGUAAGAAGCUUUCUCCAGCUUGAUGGCCGCCCACCAAUCUGCAGCAGCUUACGAAUCCUAGAGAACUGCUGCCUUCUCAGGACUGUCUGGCUUAAGCUAACAUACAUUUACAGUGCCAGCACUGGCCAGGAUCUUAAGGUAAAUGGAUUUCUAGACAGGAUGGAAGAUGACAUUACAGAGCGUUUCCUGCAGACAGUCACUUCUAAAGUCAAGGGAACACUGAAGAAUCACUUCAAAAAGUGUGACAGUGGUUUUGGCCACAUUCUUGAAUCCUUAAAGCAAAGCUUUUUGGCCUUUGGGAAGAAACAGAUAUGUAUGAGGCCCUCGUCCAGGCUGUCAAUGCCAUUGUUAUUACAGAAUAUGUGCAGGCUCUCCUGA
rnacentral:lncRNA from 1 species